rnacentral:rRNA from 1 species
UACGGGGGGGGCAAGCGUUGUUCGGAAUUACUGGGCGUAAAGGGUUCGUAGGUGGCCUGCUAAGUCAGACGUGAAAUCCCUCGGCUCAACCGGGGAACUGCGUCUGAUACUGGGUGGCUUGAAUCCGGGAGAGGGAUGCGGAAUUCCAGGUGUAGCGGUGAAAUGCGUAGAUAUCUGGAGGAACACCGGUGGCGAAGGCGGCAUCCUGGACCGGCAUUGACGCUGAGGAGCGAAAGCUAGGGGAGCAAACGGG